AUCAUUUUAUCAUUUAUAUCAUCAUCAAUUAGAAUAUUUACGAAUAUGUAUGUAUAUGCAAAUUGAACUAACACUUAGGUCAAUAUUGUUGUUUAAUUAUGUUGAUUAUAUGCAAAUGUAGCGGAACCACAGGUAAGUUACUAACACAGCAAGACAUCGCUUCGAGCAUCCAAGCAUCAAAUCAAAAAAAAAUCUGGUGAUUUUUGAUAAUGAUGCUUGCGGACAUAAUCUAACAUACUGAUUGAAAAAAUCUAUGUUUUGAUAAUGCGUGUGAAUUUCCUAAUAAAUCCCAUCAAUAUGCUAUAUGUAAGCUCGUGCUUCUCCUCCUGUUGGAGAACUAUCAACUUUGAACUAUAGGACGAUUAUAACGAUGAGAUGCGGAUAACGAGGAUGAUGUUGGUGUAGUGAUGGCGAUAUUGAAGAUGCUGAUGAUAACGAUUAUAAUGAAAUGGUAGACCUGUAGGCUAA